rnacentral:rRNA from 1 species
GGUUGAUCCUGCCAGUAGUCAUAUGCUUGUCUCAAAGAUUAAGCCAUGCAUGUCUAAGUAUAAACAAAUUCAUACUGUGAAACUGCGAAUGGCUCAUUAAAUCAGUUAUAGUUUAUUUGAUGGUACCUUACUACAUGGAUAACUGUGGUAAUUCUAGAGCUAAUACAUGCUGAAAAGCCCCGACUUCUGGAAGGGGUGUAUUUAUUAGAUUAAAAACCAAUGAUGGUUCGCCAUCUUGUGUUGAUUCAUGAUAACUUCUCGAAUCGCAUGGCCUUGCGCCGGCGAUGCUUCAU